ACCGAAAAAAACAAACACAACGACUACAGUAUAAUCGGUCCCGUUUGUUAAACAAUUACGAUUCCUACUACGUAGAAGGCUUGGUUGUUAAUAUUCAGGAGUAAGCGCUUUGGCAUUGGAAGAUUGCAAGAAACGUCAUGACGUUCUGAUUAAUAUUCAUGAGGUAAGGCCUCUUCGUAGAAGCAAAGUCAGCGCAUUCUAAUUAACGUUAAAGCACUCCGCUUUCGCAAGGAUAUAAACUCCAUGGAACCCAAAGUAAUCAGAACCACAGACUUCAUCAAGAAUGGGAACUUUAGUCAAUUGCUUGUCUUGAAAAGCUCUAUUGAAAGUGGAUUAGAGUAUUCUGCUGUUAAAUUUUCCAAAAGCCCAGUUUUGUGACCUUAUUUGCUUUUCAAAGGUUAGAUUUUUUUCCCCAAUAAUAUUUUUGGCUCUUAUAAUAUUUCGUUCUCUCAUAAAUUAAUUC